AGUGAACGCUGGCGGUAGGCCUAACACAUGCAAGUCGAACGGCAGCACAGUAAGAGCUUGCUCUUACGGGUGGCGAGUGGCGGACGGGUGAGGAAUACAUCGGAAUCUACUUUUUCGUGGGGGAUAACGUAGGGAAACUUACGCUAAUACCGCAUACGACCUACGGGUGAAAGCAGGGGAUCUUCGGACCUUUCGCGAUUGAUUGAGCUGAUGUCGGAUUAGCUAGUUGGCGUGGUAAAGGCCCACCAAGGCGACGAUCCGUAGCUGGUCUGAGAGGAUGAUCAGCCACACUGGAACUGAGACACGGUCCAGACUCCUACGGGAGGCAGCAGUGGGGAAUAUUGGGCAAUGGGCGCAAGCCUGAUCCAGCCAUACCGCGUGAGUGAAGAAGGCCUUCGGGUUGUAAAGCCCUUUUAUUGGGAAAGAAAAGAAGCAGGUUAAUACCCCGCUGUUCCGACGGUACCCAAAGAAUAAGCACCGGCUAACUUCGUG
rnacentral:rRNA from 1 species